AUCUUGUAAAUCAAAAAUAAGUAACUUUUUAAAACU
rnacentral:tRNA from 1 species